rnacentral:rRNA from 1 species
UACGGAGGGUGCAAGCGUUAUCCGGAUUUACUGGGUUUAAAGGGUGCGUAGGUGGGUCUGUAAGUCAGUGGUGAAAUCUCCGGGCUUAACCCGGAAACUGCCAUUGAUACUAUAGAUCUUGAAUAUCGUGGAGGUAAGCGGAAUAUGUCAUGUAGCGGUGAAAUGCUUAGAUAUGACAUAGAACACCAAUUGCGUAGGCAGCUUACUACACGAUCAUUGACGCUGAGGCACGAAAAGCGUGGGGAGCAAACAGG